CGGGAGGAGCGAGCAUUAUUCGGAAUGAUUAGGCGUAAAGAGUUUGUAGGUGGUUUUUAAGUUGAAAAACAAAUUAAAGCUUAACUUUAUACAUUUUUUCAAAACUAAUAAACUUGAGUAUAAAUAGAGGAUAAUGGAAUUUCUAUUGGAGUGAUAAAAUAUGUUGAUAAUAGAAGGAAGAUCUAUGGCGAAGGCAAUUAUCUGGGGUAUAUACUGACACUGAGAAACGAAAGCUUUGGGGUAGCGAAACGGGGAUU
rnacentral:rRNA from 1 species